rnacentral:rRNA from 1 species
UACGUAGGGGGCGAGCGUUAUCCGGAAUCAUUGGGCGUAAAGCGCGCGCAGGCGGGCUUUCAAGCGGCGGCGUCGAAGCCGGGGGCUCAACCCCCGGAAGCGCCCCGAACUGGAAGCCUCGGAUGCGGCAGGGGGAGGCGGAAUUCCCGGUGUAGCGGUGAAAUGCGCAGAUAUCGGGAAGAACACCGACGGCGAAGGCAGCCUCCUGGGCCGGCAUCGACGCUGAGGCGCGAAAGCGGGGGGAGCGAACAGGAUUAGAUACCCUGGUAGUCCCAGCCGUAAACGAUGGACGCUAGGUGUGGGGGGAUCGGUCCCUCCGUGCCGAAGCCAACGCAUUAAGCGUCCCGCCUGGAGAGUACGGCCGCAAGGCUAAA